GACGAACGCUGGCGGCGUGCCUAACACAUGCAAGUCGAGGGGCAACGGGGCGUAGCAAUACGCUGCCGGCGACCGGCGGAUGGGUGAGUAACGCGUAUGCAACCUGCCUUCAGCAGGGGGAUAGCCCGUUGAAAGACGGAUUAAUACCCCAUAACACAGGGGCUCCGCAUGGAGAUUAUUGUUAAAGGGAUGCUUCCUUCGGGGGUAUUCCGGCUGAAGAUGGGCAUGCGUUCCAUUAGGUAGUUGGUUGAGGUAACGGCUCACCAAGCCUGCGAUGGAUAGGGGAACUGAGAGGUUGGUCCCCCAACUGGUACUGAGACACGGACCAGACUCCUACGGGAGGCAGCAGUGAGGAAUCUUGGUCAAUGGACGGAAGUCUGAACCAGCCAUGUCGCGUGAAGGAGGACGGCCCUAAGGGUUGUAAACUUCUUUUGCAGCGGAAUAAAGUAUUCCACGUGAUGGGAUAUUGCAAGUACGCUGCGAAUAAGGAUCGGCUAACUCCGUG
rnacentral:rRNA from 1 species